CAGUGAUUGUUUGCCGGUUCACACGAUUUCGUAAUUGUAUUUAAGAUUUGUAGACUUUAUUUUAUUUUAUUUCUAGGAUCAUAUAAACUUGUGCAUUUUUUACAGUGUAAAUAUGUCAAACGCGUCUUCUCAAGGGUCUAUUCAAAUUAGUGAUGAUGAAGUAUUCCGUCGUAAACUACUUAUGGAUGGAGAAGGAAUGGGAGACGAUAGGCGAUUAAAUAUCCUUUUACGAUCCUUUUUUAAGUGGUGUGAUGGGAAAGAAGAUUCUGAAGAAGAAAUAUCCCAUGGCCGUAACUAA